rnacentral:lncRNA from 1 species
UUUUUUCCCACCUCUCUUAAAAAUAUGUCUGAACUUUGAAGUGAGUUUACUGGGACCUGUGACCACUCCUGAACAUCAGCUUCUCAAGACUCCUUCAUCUAGUUCCCUGUCACAGAGAGUCCGUUCCACCCUCACCAAGAACACUCCUAGAUUUGGGAGCAAAAGCAAGUCUGCCACUAACCUAGGACGACAAGGCAACUUUUUUGCUUCUCCAAUGCUCAAGUGAAGUCACAUCUGCCUGUUACUUCCCAGCAUUGACUGACUAUAAGAAAGGACACAUCUGUACUCUGCUCUGCAGCCUCCUGUACUCAUUACUACUUUUAGCAUUCUCCAGGCUUUUACUCAAGUUUAAUUGUGCAUGAGGGUUUUAUUAAAACUAUAUAUAUCUCCCCUUCCUUCUCCUCAAGUCACAUAAUAUCAGCACUUUGUGCUGGUCAUUGUUGGGAGCUUUUAGAUGAGACAUCUUUCCAGGGGUAGAAGGGUUAGUAUGGAAUUGGUUGUGAUUCUUUUUGGGGAAGGGGGUUAUUGUUCCUUUGGCUUAAAGCCAAAUGCUGCUCAUAGAAUGAUCUUUCUCUAGUUUCAUUUAGAACUGAUUUCCGUGAGACAAUGACAGAAACCCUACCUAUCUGAUAAGAUUAGCUUGUCUCAGGGUGGGAAGUGGGAGGGCAGGGCAAAGAAAGGAUUAGACCAGAGGAUUUAGGAUGCCUCCUUCUAAGAACCAGAAGUUCUCAUUCCCCAUUAUGAACUGAGCUAUAAUAUGGAGCUUUCAUAAAAAUGGGAUGCAUUGAGGACAGAACUAGUGAUGGGAGUAUGCGUAGCUUUGAUUUGGAUGAUUAGGUCUUUAAUAGUGUUGAGUGGCACAACCUUGUAAAUGUGAAAGUACAACUCGUAUUUAUCUCUGAUGUGCUGCUGGCUGAACUUUGGGUUCAUUUGGGGUCAAAGCCAGUUUUUCUUUUAAAAUUGAAUUCAUUCUGAUGCUUGGCCCCCAUACCCCCAACCUUGUCCAGUGGAGCCCAACUUCUAAAGGUCAAUAUAUCAUCCUUUGGCAUCCCAACUAACAAUAAAGAGUAGGCUAUAAGGGAAGAUUGUCAAUAUUUUGUGGUAAGAAAAGCUACAGUCAUUUUUUCUUUGCACUUUGGAUGCUGAAAUUUUUCCCAUGGAACAUAGCCACAUCUAGAUAGAUGUGAGCUUUUUCUUCUGUUAAAAUUAUUCUUAAUGUCUGUAAAAACGAUUUUCUUCUGUAGAAUGUUUGACUUCGUAUUGACCCUUAUCUGUAAAACACCUAUUUGGGAUAAUAUUUGGAAAAAAAGUAAAUAGCUUUUUCAAAA